ACCUGGGUGGCUUAGUCAGUUAAGCAUCUGCCUUCAGCUCAGGUCAUGAUCUCAGGGUCCUGGGAUCGAGCCCCAGCUCCGGCU
rnacentral:tRNA from 1 species